rnacentral:sRNA from 1 species
AGUUUUGUUUAGUGCAGGAUAAACUAAGAAAGGAAAGGACAUGGCUGAGGGAAUAGCUUGGGAUCUGAGACCUUAUGGCCCUAAAAAGCACCUUGGGGUUUCCUUUGAUACGGUUUGAAGACGCUGUGAUUAAUCUAGAUCCAUUCACUCGGGUACAUCCCUAUGAGACCAAGGAGUUCAUCAUCAAUGAUAUCCUCAAACAUUUCCAGGAGGAACUCCUCAGCCAGGCAGCUCGAAUCCUGGGAUCAGUGGAUUUUCUUGGCAAUCCUAUGGGGCUUUUGAAUGAUGUUUCUGAAGGGGUUACUGGACUGAUAAAAUAUGGAAAUGUCGGGGGCCUCAUCAGAAAUGUUACACACGGAGUAUCAAACUCUGCUGCCAAG